GGCGCUGUGGCUUAGUUGGUUAAAGCGCCUGCCUUGUAAACAGGAGGCAGUGGGUUCAAAUCCCAGCAGUGCCU